UUCUUUCUUAAAUUUGAAUAUAAGAAAGAAAAUAUACUAAUUCAUCAGGUCCCAGAGUUGGCUUUGUUGUUGUUGUUAGUUCCUAGAUUUUUUUCCUUUUCUGAGAUCUGAUUAUUCAAGAUAUUUGUCUGGUCUUCUAAUAGCCUGGGUAUUUUAUAUUUUUUAAAGGUAUUCCUCUAUUUUUCUUGUGUUGUCAGUUUUGUUAGCAUAUAACUGUGUAUAAUAUGUUUCAAUUAUUUUUUAUUUCUUCUGGGUUUGCUGUGAUUCUAUAUACUUUGUUUUAAUCCAUACCUUCCAUCUUAGAAUCAGUACUGUGUAUUGGUUCUAAGGCAGAAAAGCAGUAAGGACACUUGCCCAGGGUCACACAGCUAGGAAGUAUCUGAGGUCAAAUUUGAACUCAGGACCUCUCAUCUCUGGACCUGGCUCUCAAUCCACUGAGCAACCUAGCUGUCCCCUAACCUUUUUCAUUUACUAUUUUAUUGAUUUGAUUUGCUACUCUCUUCUUUUUAAUCAGAUUAGCAAAUCAAUUUUAAUAGUCUUUUCAAAGAAGCAGCUUUUUAGUUUUAUUUAUCUUUUCUAUGGGGUUUUCUUAUUUCUAAUUUAUUUUUCCUCUAAUUUUUAAUGUCUUCUCUUUUUGUCCUUAUUUUAGGUUUGUUCAUUUUCUAAUUUUGAAAGUACAUAUUCAUAAUUGCAGCUCUUUUUGUGGUCUCAAAGAAUUAGAAAUUAUGAGGAUUAGUUGGCAAAUGGCUGAACAAGCUAUCAGAAAUUUAAUAAUGAUGGAAAUAAUUGUCAUCCCUACUUUGCUACAAUUUAAGCUAAAAAGAAGCAAGGAUACUUCAAAGUUGUUCACCCACGGUACUGGGGACCUUCUUCACUCUCUCAAAAGUAUUAAAUAAAACCACUGUCCCUGGAACAAAUGAAUACAUGCUGUUUCACAAACGCUCUACAAUUGGACAAAAAUAUGAACAAAGAACUGAAAAGAAAAUAAAAAUGAGUAAGGAAGUAAUUUGCUUAGCA
rnacentral:lncRNA from 1 species